ensembl:snoRNA
GCAUGAGUUUGGAUUCACAGCAUGCUCGUUCCCCUGGGCCUCUCACAGUGCCCUAUGCCAGAGCAAAAUGGCUUUGAACCAUUGCCUAACCUGCCCGAGGGCUGCUGACCCGGAAGCAGGUUGCUCAGUG